CGAAGCUGACGAGUGCUUGCACUUGAAGCUCACCCGAUUAGUUAGUGGCGGACGGGUGAGUAACGCGUGAGCAACCAACCUUUGCAGUGGGACAACAAUUAGAAAUGAUUGCUAAUACCGCAUAAGACCACACUAUCACAUGGUAGAGUGAGAAAAGCUCCGGCGGCAAGAGACGGGCUCGCGUUCGAUUAGCUAGAUGGUGAGGUAACGGCCCACCAUGGCGACGAUCGAUAGCCGGACUGAGAGGUCGACCGGCCACAUUGGGACUGAGACACGGCCCAGACUCCUACGGGAGGCAGCAGUGGGGAAUAUUGCACAAUGGGGGGAAACCCUGAUGCAGCGACGCCGCGUGGGUGAUGAAGUAUUUCGGUAUGUAAAGCCCUUUUAGCAGGGAAGAUAGUGACGGUACCUGCAGAAACAGCCCCGGCUAACUACGUGCCAGCAGCCGC
rnacentral:rRNA from 1 species